CGGGGAAUAUUGCACAAUGGGCGAAAGCCUGAUGCAGCAACGCCGCGUGAGUGAUGAAGGUCUUCGGAUUGUAAAGCUCUGUCUUUUGGGACGAUAAUGACGGUACCAAAGGAGGAAGCCACGGCUAACUACGUGCCAGCAGCCGCGGUAAUACGUAGGUGGCGAGCGUUGUCCGGAUUUACUGGGCGUAAAGGGUGCGUAGGCGGAUGUUUAAGUGAGAUGUGAAAUACCCGGGCUUAACUUGGGUGCUGCAUUUCAAACUGGAUAUCUAGAGUGCAGGAGAGGAGAAUGGAAUUCCUAGUGUAGCGGUGAAAUGCGUAGAGAUUAGGAAGAACACCAGUGGCGAAGGCGAUUCUCUGGACUGUAACUGACGCUGAGGCACGAAAGCGUGGGUAGCAAACAGGAUUAGAUACCCUGGUAGUCCACGCCGUAAACGAUGAGUACUAGGUGUAGGAGGUAUCGACCCCCUCUGUGCCGCAGUAAACACAUUAAGUACUCCGCCUGGGAAGUACGAUCGCAAGAUUAAAACUCUAAAGUGAAUUGAC
rnacentral:rRNA from 1 species